GACCCCCUGCCGUGUUCGUGAUGAGGGUACGUAUUUUUGAACCAACAGAAAACAACGGGGGCCCUUUUCGCAGCGUGGUGUGCAUAGGCCCCACUGACGUGGGGAGAGCCUGAAGCGUUGCCCGGGCAGCCACCUGGUUAGCCAGGUUCAAACCUCACCCCUCAAACGGCACAAAGGUGGGGGGUUC
rnacentral:other from 1 species